GGGGGUAUAGCUCAGUUGGUAGAGCAGCGGACUCUUAAUCCGUAGGUCGUAGGUUCGACUCCUACUGCCCCUA
rnacentral:tRNA from 1 species